CAACACUCAUUUAUUUAUACCCCCUCACACACUACUAUCGAUUAAUUAAAGCAUUCUACCCCCCUAGUACGGGCGACAGAAAAGGA
rnacentral:rRNA from 1 species